CUCGGUAGGAAGGGGUAAAAUCCUUUGAUCUAUCGAUGACCACCUGUGGCGAAGGCGGUCUACCAGAACACGUUCGACGGUGAGGGAUGAAAGCUGGGGGAGCAAACCGGAUUAGAUACCCGGGUAGUCCCAGCUGUAAACGAUGCAGACUCGAUGAUGCAUUGGCAUAUAGCCAGUGCAGUGUCGCAGGGAAGCCGUUAAGUCUGCCGCCUGGGUAGUACGUACGCAAGUAUGAAACUUAAAGGAAUUGGCGGGGGAGCACCACAAGGGGUGAAGCCUGCGGUUCAAUUGGAGUCAACGCCAGAAAUCUUACCCGGAGAGACAGCAGAAUGAAGGUCAAGCUGAAGACUUUACCAGACAAGCUGAGAGGUGGUGCAUGGCCGUCGCCAGCUCGUGCCGUGAGAUGUCCUGUUAAGUCAGGUAACGAGCGAGAUCCUCGCCACUAGUUGCUAUCAUUAUUCUCAGGAAUAGUGGGGCGAAUUAGUGGGACUGCCGUUGUUAAAACGGAGGAAGGAGGGGGCUACGGCAGGUCAGUAUGCCCCGAAACUCUGGGGCCACACGCGGGCUGCAAUGGUAGCGACGAUGAGCUCCAAACUCGAAAGAGAGUGGCAAUCUCUAAACGCUACCACAGUUAUGACUGAGGGCUGUAACUCGCCCUCACGAAUAUGGAAUCCCUAGUAACCGCGUGUCAUUACCGCGCGGUG
rnacentral:rRNA from 1 species